GUCCACGCUGUAACGAUGGGUACUAGGUGUCGCGGUGUUGACCCCUGCGGUGCCGCAGCUAACGCAUUAAGUACCCGCCUGGGGAUUACGGUCGCAAGAUUAACUCAAGGAAUUGACGGGCCCGCACAAGCGGUGGAGCAUGUGGUUUAAUUCGACGCAACGCGAAGAACCUUACCUGGGUUAGACAACGGUGGACCACCCUGGAGACAGGGUCUUCCCUUCGGGGACUGCCGGUUCAGGUGCUGCAUGGCUGUCGU
rnacentral:rRNA from 1 species